rnacentral:rRNA from 1 species
GAUGAACGCUGGCGGCGUGCCUAAUACAUGCAAGUCGAGCGAACAGAUGAGGAGCUUGCUCCUCUGACGUUAGCGGCGGACGGGUGAGUAACACGUGGAUAACCUACCUAUACGACUGGGAUAACUUCGGGAAACCGGAGCUAAUACCGGAUAAUAUAUUGAACCGCAUGGUUCAAUAGUGAAAGACGGUUUUGCUGUCACUUAUAGAUGGAUCCGCGCCGCAUUAGCUAGUUGGUAAGGUAACGGCUUACCAAGGCAACGAUGCGUAGCCGACCUGAGAGGGUGAUCGGCCACACUGGAACGGAGACACGGUCCAGACUCCUACGGGAGGCAGCAGUAGGGAAUCUUCCGCAAUGGGCGAAAGCCUGACGGAGCAACGCCGCGUGAGUGAUGAAGGUCUUCGGAUCGUAAAACUCUGUUAUUAGGGAAGAACAAAUGUGUAAGUAACUAUGCACGUCUUGACGGUACCUAAACAGAAAGCCACGGCUAACUACGUG